rnacentral:rRNA from 1 species
CCGACGGGUGAGUAACACGUAUGCAAUCCACCUGUAACAGGGGAGUAACCCGGAGAAAUCCGGACUAAUACCCCAUAAUAUGGGCGCUCCGCAUGGAGAGUCCAUUAAAGAGAGCAAUCUUGGUUACAGACGAGCAUGCGCUCCAUUAGCCAGUUGGCGGGGUAACGGCCCACCAAAGCGACGAUGGAUAGGGGUUCUGAGAGGAAGGUCCCCCACAUUGGAACUGAGACACGGUCCAA